GAAUUUUACAGUUCUUUUAGAAUUUUUUUCUAGCAGCUUUUUUGACUUUGGUCAGAAAACCUAU